GAUGAAGAACGCAGCGAAAUGCGAUACGUAAUGUGAAUUGCAGAAUUCAGUGAAUCAUCGAAUCUUUGAACGCACAUUGCGCCCGCCAGCACUCUGGCGGGCAUGCCUGUUCGAGCGUCAUUUCAACCAUCAAGCCCCAGGCUUGCGUUGGAGCCCUGCGGCUGCCGCAGCCUCCUAAAAGCAGUGGCGGGCUCGCUAUCACACCGAGUGCAGUAGAUUACUCUUCGCUCAGGGCGUGCAGCGGGUUCCGGCCGUGAAACCUCCUACUUUUAAAGGUUGACCUCGGAUCAGGUAGGAAUACCCGCUGAACUUAAGCAUAUCAAUAAGCGGAGGA
rnacentral:misc_RNA from 1 species